UGCCCCAUAGUCUGGGAUACCACUUGGAAACAGGUGCUAAUACCGGAUAAGAAAGCGGAUCGCAUGAUCAGCUUUUAAAAGGCGGCGUAAGCUGUCGCUAUGGGAUGGCCCCGCGGUGCAUUAGCUAGUUGGUAAGGUAAAGGCUUACCAAGGCGAUGAUGCAUAGCCGAGUUGAGAGACUGAUCGGUCACAUUGGGACUGAGACACGGCCCAAACUCCUACGGGAGGCAGCAGUC
rnacentral:rRNA from 1 species